rnacentral:ncRNA from 1 species
GGAGGUAGGUCCUCCGUAGACGCCGUGCAGGCGGAGUCUACAAAUCACCUUAAGGUGCUGGAGAAGUGAUUCUCUGGUAUUGAGCGUUUAAGGAAAAGGUCUGGUAAGA